CCUACGGGUGGCAGCAGUGGGGAAUAUUGCACAAUGGGCGCAAGCCUGAUGCAGCCAUGCCGCGUGUGUGAAGAAGGCCUUCGGGUUGUAAAGCACUUUCAGCGGGGAGGAAGGCGGUGAGGUUAAUAACCUCAUCGAUUGACGUUACCCGCAGAAGAAGCACCGGCUAACUCCGUGCCAGCAGCCGCGGUAAUACGGAGGGUGCAAGCGUUAAUCGGAAUUAUUGGGCGUAAAGCGCACGCAGGCGGUCUGUCAAGUCGGAUGUGAAAUCCCCGGGCUCAACCUGGGAACUGCAUUCGAAACUGGCAGGCUAGAGUCUUGUAGAGGGGGGUAGAAUUCCAGGUGUAGCGGUGAAAUGCGUAGAGAUCUGGAGGAAUACCGGUGGCGAAGGCGGCCCCCUGGACAAAGACUGACGCUCAGGUGCGAAAGCGUGGGGAGCAAACAGGAUUAGAUACCCGAGUAGUC
rnacentral:rRNA from 1 species